UUUGGUUUUGGGUUCUUCAUCUCGACUUUUUUUUUUGGGAGAGUUCCCUUUUUUUUGUGAAAAAAAAAAAAAAUUAUUCAAAAGAAAAUUUUAAGAUCUAAUAAUACCAGAUUUUUUGUUUUCAUCACAAUUUGAAGUGAUAUUGGAGUGUGUUUAUCUUCUGCUGACAAAAAUAUCCAAUUUUAUAUGUGUACAGUGUCAUUUUUAAUUUGAAGUUGAUUUUUCUGCAAUGAUGACAAUUCAAUAUAAAGAGUUUUCAUCUUCACAAAUACACAAUAAUACUAUUCGAGUAUAACAGAUUUAUUAUUUUGAUGAAGAAAUUAUUCCAUACUUAACGCAGAAAGAAUAAAUAAUAUGAAAAGAAGAGACGAAUAUUUUCGAUGAUAGUUUUGGAUAAACAAAUUCUAAAAAUAAAAUUCUAUAUUAUGUGCUAUAUUAGUUACAAAACACACAUACAUAAAAUAUUAUAAUAAUAAACAAUAUACAAAAGUGAAAAAUAAAGGAAAACUACAGCAACUUUUAACAAAAUGGAAAUUUAUAUUAUAAAUUUAUAUACAAAUAAAAUAAUAAUAUACAGAAGUACAUAAUAUUUACUGAGUAAAUAGAAAAAGGAUAAUAAUAAAGAACAUUAAAGAAACAAAAUAAUAUAAAAUAUAUAAGUAUACCUACAUAUUUACAUACAUUAAAUACAAAUAAUGUAUUAUGUAUGUGCGUAUUUAUAGUACUCGUAUAAAUGGAGAGUGAUCAAUUUAUAAAAGAGAAAGAAAAAAUAGUGAAAAUAAAAGAAAAAGAAAAUGUUAAACAACGGACAUUUUCAUACGAAAUUAAUAAUAAAAUAUUUUCCAUCCUAAAUAAUAUAAAAUAAAUUUCAAGGUUUCAUACAAAAUUCUUUUAUAUAUCCUUGGGUUUAAAAAUAUGUUCACUUUUUUACAAAACAAAAACAAAAAAUAUAAAAGGAGGAUACUUAAUUUAUUAUUUAACAAAAAGUAAAAAUAAAAAUUAAAUAUAGAGAAAAAAAACUAUCAAAAGAAUCUUAUGCUUUAAUAUUGACUAUUAAAGACUGCCACAAUUAAAAAUUUCAAAAUUCAAAUUUAAAAUAAAGAAAUUUUGAAAAUCAUAAAUGAUCGACGACCAGUUUAUAAAAAUAUUAAUGUGCAUGGAUCAUCAUUAUCCUUUAAAUAAUAUUAUAAAUUUUAAAAUUAUUGAAAAUAAAAAGUGGCAAAAAGAAAAGCUACUUAAAAAUCAACAACAUUAUUGCCAUUUUUUAUAUUUAAAUAUUAUAAAAAAUUUUAUAAUUAAUAAAAAUUAUAAUAAAAAUAAUAAUAUAAUAAUUAAUAAAUUAUUAAAGACUAGAAUUAAAAAAAAUAUAACACAAAAUAAUGAAAGAAGGACGAAAAAAAGAAAAAAUUUAAAACUGUUAUACAAUUUUUUUUUUUAGAAAAAAAAAAAAUAAAAUAAAUUAUUAUUUUUGUAUAAUAAAAUAAAAAUAAUUUAUAGGAUCCAUAAUAUAGAAUUUAAAGUGAAUUAAAACUAUUAUAUGAAUUAUUAUUAAUUUUGUUCUACUAAAAUUUUUACGCUAUAA